GACGAACGCUGGCGGCGUGCUUAACACAUGCAAGUCGAACGGAAAGGCCCUGCUUGCAGGGUACUCGAGUGGCGAACGGGUGAGUAACACGUGGGUGAUCUGCCCUGCACUUCGGGAUAAGCCUGGGAAACUGGGUCUAAUACCGGAUAGGAGCCAUUUUUAGUGUGAUGGUUGGAAAGUUUUUUCGGUGUAGGAUGAGCUCGCGGCCUAUCAGCUUGUUGGUGGGGUAAUGGCCUACCAAGGCGGCGACGGGUAGCCGGCCUGAGAGGGUGGACGGCCACAUUGGGACUGAGAUACGGCCCAGACUCCUACGGGAGGCAGCAGUGGGGAAUAUUGCACAAUGGGCGCAAGCCUGAUGCAGCGGCGCCGCGUGGGGGAUGACGGCCUUCGGGUUGUAAACUCCUUUCGCUAGGGACGAAGCUUUUUGUGACGGUACCUAGAGAAGAAGCACCGGCUAACUACGUG
rnacentral:rRNA from 1 species